rnacentral:lncRNA from 1 species
ACAUAUUCCUCUUUGCUCCAUAUAGUCUUCAAGAAAAACAAGGGAAAGCAACCUAGAGAGAAUUCUGAUUUAAUCAGAAAAGAAUUAUAUUUUGAGAUCAUGUGUUGACUCAUAGGAGAAGGAGAGGGGUAAGUUGGAGAGAUCAAACUCUAGAGUCAAUAUCAGCACCUCCUCUGCCCUUAAUAGUUUUAUUUGGGCUAGUGAUUUUCUUGAUUUCUAUGAAUACUUAUUCAGAGUAUAAGGCAACAAUAGAAAGAUCCAAAGUUAGUUUGAAGUUGUUGUCUAUCUUGUUGCCUUUUCUUGUCAUUCUUUUGGUGUAUAUCUUGCUUAAUAGUAACAGGUGGUUUUAUCCAGUUGGAGUUUCAAGGCCAGUUAUGUACCACUUGGCUAGUCAAGAAGGAAGCUCUCCUUGGGGUUUGGCUCUGCUAUUGGUGCUACUUUUGGUCAUGGUUCAUUAUCAAGAUUCAUUUCAAUCUACUUGGUUUCGUAUACUUUGACGAAAUGUUACCCUAGAGGACAAACUGGCCCUCGCUGCUAGUUUACGGAUACGAGAUAUCCAUCCUACGAUGCAGAAAUUAUUUAGUUUGUUAUAUUACUAUAUAGUACCUUUUACAUCUCUUCACAAACUUCUUUGGCAAAAGUUGUAGCUUGUAUACUAUUAGGAUUAAUAUGAUUAGGUGCCUUAGUGUAUUAACCUACCAUGAUUUGGAGUUGAACUGUUUUUCAUUUGUUUCUCGGGAGCCUAUUUCAUUAUGUAAUUAUAUGUUUUCUUUUCAAUAUUUUUGAGUUGGGACAUUAACUAAUUAAAAUCUUCAUGUUUGUAUGACCUUGCAGCACUUUGAAAAAGAUUUAUUACCGUGGCCUUUGCAUGUCUUUGAUUUAAAUUUUUCUCAAAGUGAUAUAUUCAUAUACUAUGGUGAGCUUCAGGGAAAAACUUUUCUAAUACCAUUUGCAAUCGAUUGGUUUCUAUCUAACAAGAAAACCAGUUCAUGACGGACUUGAAUUGCUUUUCUCAUUUCCCCGAAGAACCAAAUAUAUGCCUCAUUGUUUUCUGAAUCUGCUAUAGCAAAACAUAGAGGAAAUAUUUGAUUGUUUGCAUCCUUUGAUACAACAACAAAUAGAACACCACGAUAUUUUGACUUCAAAAAUAUUGGAUCUACUGCAAUAACGGGUCUACAGUAGGACAACCAUCUACUGAUGCCGCAAGAGGAAAGAACAUGUAAGCAAAUAUGUAUAUUGAAUCACAAAAAAAAUAAAUCAUAAGGUGUGAAGUUUUUUAAAUAGUAACUUUAGGCUGAUGGUUAGUAUUGUUUUGCCUACCUAUUCUGUGCAUCUCUUUUUAUGCUUGUGUACGUUCUUGAGUUUUUGGCCACCAUCAUGUGUAGGUAUGAAGGAAGAAUCUGGUAAUUCUCUUUAGGUGUUCCCCUUAUGCAAGCAACAACUUUUUGAAUGGCACACCAUGCCUUGUGAUAACCAAUAUCAAUUCUAAAUUUCUUUUUCAUUUUAUUUUCUACAAAGGCUAGUGUAACCUCUAUCUUUUUGUCUCAAACAUGUUCUAUAAUUUGUUCACUUAUAAAAUUUGAUGUAGCAUGCUUCUGAUCGGAUUUCUUGCAUCAACCGAGCAUUCAUGGAUGUUGUGAUAUUUUAUCACCCUGAACAGUGUAGAAUUCUUUAUUCUGGUAGCACGUACAUUCCAAAAACAUUUGUCCACGAUGCAUUUUAGCUUGUAUCUCUUAGAACAUGAUCUAACAAUAGUGAAUUCAACUUUUUGGUUUAUCUCCAAACUGUAAAAUAAUUUAGUCAUGUUUUGUUUGUUCUCAAAGAUGGAUCCAACUUUUACUUCCUUAGGCAAAGCAUCGUGCCGAAGUAUUUUACAUGCUGGAGAUUCUUUCAACUUUCUCCUCAGUCUUUUUCUUGAUUUCUGAGGAGCACAAGAACUUUCAGUAAUUUCUUCAAUUCUAUCUGAUGUUAUUGGUAUAAGCUCCAUGUUUACUUCAUCUCAUUAUUGCUUAUCAUUGCAGAAGGUAACAAAAAUCUUUUUUGGACUGUGUGUUGGUUGUCAAUUUUGCAUUAUUAGGUGUCCUUCUUCUUCUUGGUCAUCGCCAAAUUGGAAUGAAUUUAUUAGAUGAGGGGUAAUUGUUGCAGAACUAUGCAUUCUGAAGCAACUGUAAUGUUAGAAGGUUAUUGCCAGUUGUCUACUUCUAUUAUUGGUUGUCGUAGUUCAUGUUGAUAGUCAGCAAAAAAUUCUGAAUCUAUCGCAAGCAAGAGAUUGUGAAAGUUGUAUUUCUUCAAUGACGAAAUGGCAAUUCUUGUAGGCUGAAUCAGUUGUAAGCAAAUGUAUACAUGUACUGUUAUUCAUCUGAAGUUACAAUCAUUCCUUUGCUUGUAUUUAUUUUGAUAUCAAACCAUACUUUUAAUGUAUAUCUGGUUGAAUCAAUAUUUGCAACUUUACUAAUUUUCUUCACGAAAGUAUUGAAUGAUAUGUCCUUAUUAACUAUAACAAGUUUUGUAUCAUGAUCCAAGUAUUUGAAAUCAGUAGUCCAACUCCCAUUAAAAGUUAUAACACUACAAAUCGAACUCAUCCUGCAAAUUCAUGUUUAGUGGAAAUUAUUAGGAAAGAGAAUAGAAAUUUUUCUAGGUUGUUUGUGCUGAAGUUUUUACAAACGAACUAAAUAACUUAGGCAUCUUCUGCUGAAGUUUUUUUGGUAAAAGAUGUAUGACAUAAUUAAUCAAUCCUGCACAGAAAACUUCAUCUUAUUAAAUGCUGAAGUUCUUAGAAAUGAACUAAGAAACUUCAACACAUCUGGCUGAAGUUUUUGUAUGAUGGUAAUUCAUCAAUGCAUGGGAAAAAAACUUCAUCCAGUAUGUGCUGAAGUUUUUGGUGCAAUAUAAUUUUUUAAUUUAGCCAGAGGAGGAGGAAAACUUCAGCUCCUCCUUCUGAAGUCUUUAAGUAAUAAGUAAAAAAACUUCAGCACCUAGGCCGAAGUUUUUUGAUGCAGUAUGAAUUUUUAAUUUAGCCAGUGCAGGAGGAAAACUUUAGCUCCACCUACUGAAGUUUUUAAGUAAUAACUAAAAAACCUAAGCAACUAUGCCGAAGUUUUUUGAUGCAGUAUGACAUUUUAAUUUAGCCAGUGUGAGGAAAACUUCAGCUCCUGCUGCUGCAAUUUUUAAGUAAUAACUAAAAAUCUUAAGCAACUACGUCGAAGUUUUUGAUGCAAUACGAAAUUUUAAUUUAUGCUUUAUUAUUUUUUACCCAGUUUACGAGAAAAACUUCAGCUUUUAAUUAUUAACAAAAAAACUUCAGCAACUAUGCCGAAGUUUUAAACAAUUAUGUAAUAUUUAUUUUAAUAUAAUUUCUUCUUCGUUGUAUUAUUUUGCAGCUCGUUAACUAAAUAACUUCAGCUUAGAAUGUUAGAAUUCAUCAUCAAAUAUAUUUAGAAUUGUAAAUUCAACAUAUCAGUGAAGUUGCUCAAACAACUUCAAUCAAUCAAUUAGAAAACAUAUAAUUCAAAAAAUACUUACAAUAUAUUUGAAUUUGAAUUUGAAUAUGGAAUUUUAAUGCGAGACGCGAUCUACGAAGAGACGAACUGAUGAAGGAGAUACGGAGGAGAUGUGAAAUUUGAAUCUGGGAAUACAGAGGAGAAUCAGACUUUUAUAUGUUUUGGAAGGGGUAUAAUGGUCAUAUUAUUACAAAUUUUUUGUUAGUUGGUUACGUAAUCAAUACUUUUUAAAAAUAGGGUAUAGAUUAAAAGGUGACAUAAAAAUAAGGUACGAUUGCAAAUCCUCAUAAGAAGCCACGUUCUGGUAUUUCUUUUUUUGGCCAAAAUCAGUCACCAAUUGGGCUGUAUUUGCAACUUUGCUUGCUCUCUAUUUGCCCUUAGACGUCUGCUUAAACAAAAUACACUUCAGCUUUUGGCCAUAGACUAAGAGAGUAUUUGGCUCAGCUUAUAAGCUGGUCAAAUUGGUUUAAACGUAUUUUUUGACUUAUUUACGUAUUUAGUAAAAUUAGAAGUGUUUAUAAGUUAAGUGCUUAUAAGUCAAAAAUAAGCCCAAAGCAUAAGUUGUUCUCCCCCAACUUAUCAAAUAUUCGCUUAUAAGAAUUUUAUUUUUGACCAAAGUAUUUAUUAUUUUUUCCCUAAAAUGCUUCUUUUUAAAAUACUCAGCUCUUCAGCUACUUAUUGUUAUUUCAACACUUUUAUCCAAACAUAUAACUGCUUAUUUUUUGAAUCAGCUUCAGCAAUUAAAAGUAUUUUUCAAGACCUAAUAUUUAUCAGCUAUUCUAAAUCAGCUAAGCCAAGCAGGCUCUAAUCUUAGGCGAGUUGCGCAAGUUCAACGGAAAAUGUGAAUUAUACUUAUAUUUAAAAUAACAACAACAACCCAGUAGCCAGUAGGAUUCCACAAGUGGCGUCUGAAGCCUGGGGGGAAUAAUGUGUACGCAUCUUACCUUUAUCCCUGUAGGAUAAAGUGAUUGUUUCCGAAAGACCCUCGGCUCGAGAGCAAGAAUAGGAACGAGUAAAUAACAACAACAAGGCGAAGAAAAUAAUAUCAACAAUGUGUGAAAAAAUAAAUGGAAGAAAGCAAUAGCAAUAGCAAUAGCAAUAGCCACAAGUAGUAACAUGACAGGUAUAAGAAAACCGAAGUGGAAAAUGGUACUAAUAACCCUAAUACUGGCAUUCUAAGAAUCGAAAACAAUGUACUAGUUUGUUAGCCCUAAUAAACCUAAAAUAUAUCAGAAAAACACAUGACAACCUAUUAUCCUUCUACCCUAAUCUUCAACCUCUAUACCCUCCUGUCAAGGGCCAUGUCCUCGAUAAGCUGAAGUCGCACCCUGAUCAUAAAUAUAUACUUGAAUUUUAAAAAAGAAAAAAAACAUAAGUUCAAAUCUUAAACCCUAAAUUACAUUUAAAUCUUAAAUUCGUCUAUGCGCUUUCCUAACUAAUUAACCAAAAAGGCCGGUUGAAUUGUAGCCUCUUCUGCUGUGUUUAGACGCUUUCAAUUUCCUAAUGAAGUUUUAUAUAGCCUCGUCUGCAGAAUUAAGAUAGUGAUUAAUCAGAAUAUAACUUUUGACUUAAUAGGUAAGAAAGCACCUCUUCAAUUGGAAUUUGGAAAUGAGACACCAAUCAUACUUCAACUUUACACAAUGAUCAGAUCCAACACUUUUGAACGAAAACAUGAACGGACUCGAUGAAAAAAGAAUAUAUCCUUUGCUUUUUUGUUUUUGCCCAUUUGCUUAGUGUCUUCUUCGAAUCAAUCCUCUCUCUCAAAAAUGUUUGAAUCCAAAAGAAAGGACGGUUUUCAAUUGGAGUCCGAAAGGCUAGAAUUUAUACCAUAACUUAUGAUCAGCGUUGGAAGCUGAAUUUUCACCAAGAGGAUUCAAAAACAAAAAGUAAAAAUGUGAAGAAGCCAAGAGAAUUCAACAUCUAAAAAUAUUUCACUUUAUAUAGACUGUAUAAAUUUCAGGCGAAAGAGAUUCAGUUUAACCCCCUUCCGUAUGCCAAUUUAACUUUAUAUAAACGGUAUAAAUUUCAGGCGAAAGAGAUUCAGUUUAACCCCCUUCCGUAUGCCUAGAUCCGCCCCUGCUUAUGACCACACGUCGAAUCUAUAAUUUAAAUUUGAUAGGUUUUUAUUUUUAAGGUUUUCCGUACUGAAUCAUCCUAUAUUUGAAAGUACAGGCUCAGAAAUUUAAUACUUAGACGAAAAUUUAUGUGAUUUUUACAUAUAUAUUUAUAUUUUGUCCCAAAAAAAUACCGAAUUCAAUUGAACCAUUUAAAAUAAAACUCCAUCGCCUCUAACCACAACUUAGACAACACCUUUCUUUCUCUCUAUAUAACCACAUAUUCCUCUUUGCUCCAUAUAGUCUUCAAGAAAAACAAGGGAAAGCAACCUAGAGAGAAUUCUGAUUUAAUCAGAAAAGAAUUAUAUCAGAAAAAUCAAGGAAAGAAACCUAGAGAGAAUUUUGAUUUAAUCAGAAAAGAAUUAUAUUUUGAGAUCAUGGGUUGGCUCAUAGGAGAAAGGAGAGGGGUAAGUUGGAGAGAUCAAACUCUAGAGUCAAUAUCAGCACCUCCUUUGCCCUUAAUAGUUUUAUUUGGGCUAGUGAUUUUCUUGAUUUCUAUGAAUACUUAUUCAGAGUAUAAGGCAACAAUAGAAAGAUCCAAAGCUAGUUUGAAGUUGUUGUCUAUCUUGUUGCCUUUUCUUGUCAUUCUUUUGGUGUAUAUCUUGCUUAAUAGUAACAGAUGGUUUUAUCCAGUUGGAGUUUCAAGGCCAGUUAUGUACCACUUGGCUAGUCAAGAAGGAAGCUCUCCUUGGGGUUUGGCUCUGCUAUUGGUGCUGCUUUUGGUCAUGGUUCAUUAUCAAGAUUCAUUUCAAUCUACUUGGUUUCGUAUACUUUGAAGAAAUGUUACCCUAGAGGACAAACAGGCCCUCACUGCUAGUUUUCGGAUACGAGAUAUCCAUCCUACGAUGCAGAAAUUAUUUAGUUUGUUAUAUUACUAUAUAGUACCUUUUACAUCUCUUCACAAACUCCUUUGGCAAAAGUUGUAACUUGUACACUAUUAGGAUUAAUAUGAUUAGGUGCCUUAGUGUAUUAACCUACCAUGAUUUGGAGUUGAACUGUUUUUCAUUUGUUUCUCGGGAGCCUAUUUCAUUAUGUAAUUAUAUGUUUUCUUUUCAAUAUUUUUGAGUUGGGACAUUAACUAAUUAAAAUCUUCAUGUUUG